AGGUAAUUUAUUUCCUCUAUCCAUUGUAGUAAAUGGGUCAUACUGGCUGGCUGGCUUGGGAAUAAAUACAGUUUUAAUCUCCUAACCAACUCAAUAGGAAAUCAGUCUCAGUGAAUCUCAGCUAAAUGAAGAGAUAUAAUGGAUAUUUUUGAGGAAAGCAAAAUCUGCUUGCAGUGUGGCUGGGCUGCUGGGUGAGUGGGUUGCUGGGCUCACCCUCCAUUCCUGUGUGCCCAGAUGAGCCAGAGGAUUUUUGGAAUAAUCAAAUCAUGGUAAGGCUGCACAGUGGUGCACCCCUUGAUCACACCAUUCCAGGAGGAGCCCAGGAGAGGUUCUUAGGGUACUUGGUCACAGUCCUGAGCCUUCUCUGAUGAGCAAGUGGCUUCCCUGGUUGCUGGGUGAUGGCAGCACUGAACAGCAGCACAAACACAUGCUUGUGUUGCUGGGCUGGUCCAAGGCAGGGGCUGCUAAAGCACAAAUCUAUGCCUGUUUUUCUCUUUCCAUGUAAGAACUUCAGCCUCAUGCCUUUCUCUCAGGUCCUGGUCUCUGCUUAGCCACAGUGAAACUGCAGUGUGAUUUCCUGUGCAAUAUAAGACAAAAAGGAAAUUAGGCUGUGCAUUACUACCAAGAGGGUCACAAAGAGGAGAGGACCCCAAAUCCGGGGUGCCAUCUGGAAAGCAGCAUUUGUCCUCAGCCAUUUGCCACUGCUGGGAGAGGAAAAAAAAAAAAGAAAAUAAGCUCUGUGUGAGAUCAAGAUUUCAAUGCAUUACACACCAAAACAUUUGUUGCUAUUUACUUUUAAAAGUGCCCUUCUGAGGCUGCAUGGCUACAGCUGCCAUCUGUUCGGGAUUACGCUUUGGAACUCCUGGUUUCUCUGCAAACCUCCUGCCUGGCACUGCUCCAUUGGCAGAGGGAAGAGGUGCUGAGGACAGGGCUGGCUGCAGGGGAACAGCACCUUCACAGCUGGAUCUGGUCAGGAGACCACCAAGAUGGAAGAGGAUUGCAGUUAGUGAAGCCCUCUUUGAAUAAACUAGAGCUGAAUUAUAUCCUGGAAAGAGAAUGCAAUUGGUCAGUGGAAAUGAGGAGCAGAAGUGGAUUAUUUGGAUAAAUAUUCAUUCCUAGAGGCUUUUGGAGGUAGCAGAGCUUCCAGGGAAGCACAUGGCCUUGUGGAGGACGGGGUGAAGGCUGGGUCUGAGCAAGGCUUGGGAUAACCCCUCCAUCCAGGACAGAGCUGCAUCUCUUGGAGGCCCAUUUUUUUAAAGGUGC
rnacentral:lncRNA from 1 species